UUUUGACGUUUUUUCGUACUUUUUUGGGUCAUUUUCAAAUUUCGUGCUUUUUUCGUGCUGUAGACACCCUGGAACUCAAGCAUAUUUCCCUUAAUUUACCAAAGCAUCAGAUGAAAGGCAAGUAAGUACCAUUAUUGUUGUUUUUUCUUUUAUUUUCGGCGAUGGAAAAAAUUUUCCGCAAAUGAAAAAAAGCAGCAAAAUACCCAGACGAGGAUUAUUUACAUGACCAAUGUUUGGAGCAUGGAACAAAACAAAAUUUAUACACCUCAACACGUUUUAAUAAUAGUAAACUAUGCAUAUUUACGACUUCCCAGAUAAUCGCACUUCACAAAUUAUUAUAGACAAGGAACCCACUAAAUUUAAAUCACGUUGACAGUCGAAAGAUUUCAAAAUUCCUAUUUGUUCACUAGCAAAGAAAGUGUUCGGUAGUAAGUAUAUUUGCUUAUUUUCCCGAUAAAUAUGAGUUCUACAAAUAGUUUGCUGAAUUCAUUUGCUGUAUUUUUCACGUCAAUUCAGCUCCUUUUAGCUCAUUGGGAACCUGACUUGGAAAAUAGUAACGAUUUUUUAGGAUAUUUCUUGAAUUUGAGAUAUAAGCCAAUUUCAGUCAACGCAAUUACAUACUACCUAGUUAAUUAUUGUCAAUAGGAGUCACCAAAUCAUGUUGAUGGAAAAAAGUAAGUACAUAAGUAAAAUAUUUAUGCACCACUUACUUAUCUAUUUUUUUGAGAGAUAGAGAGAGAGAUAGAUAGCUUCUAUUAUUCGGUGUCACUUUUGGCUCAAAAAACAGGAAUCUGAAAAGCUUGUGGUCACAAAAGUUGCCAUUUGGUUUCAAAUCAACGUGGUCGACUUCAGGUUAAUCCCUACCACAGGUGGUUCAAAAUUUCACAUUUUUGGGUAAUAUUCCACUUCGGCGUGAAUUUUAAAAAUUGAAAUAAAAUUGUAUUUUCCAAUGCUUUAAUCGCGACAAGUUGUCCUCCUAAUAACUUAAAACAUUUUCAUUCAAUUAGAAAUCACAUAGAUAGGUAAUCAAGGGUUCCUAAAAUAUGACAAUUUGGAUCUAAAAUUAGCACAUAUUCAAGAAAUACUGUCUCGUGGUAUGAAUUUCACAUAAGGGGUGUUUGAGGAUCAACAUUAGACCCCUCUUCAGUAGGUACUCAUUUAUCUACAUACAUCGAAUUACUCAAUUUAUGUCAUUUUUAGCUGAAUGAAAUUUAGGUUUCAGGUCAUCAAGUGGAUAAACUGGUCGUGAUUAAAACAUCAAAAAGACAAUUAGGUAUCUCAUUUUCAAAAAUUUUCAACGAAGUGGUAAAAUGGCCGAAAAUGAGAUGUUUCAAACCAUUUGCGGUAAGGAUUAACAUCGACUUUUUACAGCCCAAAUUUUCAUUACGUUCAUUUAAAAACAAAUGGUAAUUGUGAGCUUCUUUAUUUACCUUGAAUUAAAUUGUUGGUUUUUGUAAUUCCAAAAAAAUGUAACGAAAAGUAAUUAGCAAAAUUCACAAAGAAAUCAGUAACUAGCAAUUACUAAAAAUUCUUACAUUCCCCCUCCCUAUAUCUAUAGUUACAGUUGUUGUUGUGUCACUACGAAAGAUCUUUUUAUCAAAAUUUCUAGGUAGUAAGAUAAUAUUGUGUUUUUAUGUUCUGUUUUAUUAUUAGCAUAUUAAAGUAUUUGCAUUUGUUUCUUGUUUAUUUUGAAGUAUUCCUUUUCUUCAUCAUCUUUGUAAUGUGCAAUUAACCCUACAUGUUUCAUAUUACUUCCUUGUAGGUAAGUAUGUAUUUUUUGUAUUACACAUUACUUCUUUAUACACAUAGGUAUUAAUUUAAUUUGAUUUUAUUGAUUAUAAUUCUUCUAAUAAGUAUUUUACAAAAGUUUAUGAUUUAGGUAUUUGAUUCAACAAUGUUGAUGUUUGCGCAGAUGAAGAAGAUUCAAUCUUCUAGCAGUACAGUCGCUUUUAUACAUCCUGCACAACUUCUAAUUUAGUAUAGUAAUUCAAGACUAAUAAUUCGAAAUUUUUCAUCUAUCCUGUAUUUUAAUUUGUUCACUGGCCAGAUCUAUCAAUGUCCAAGUCUUGAUUAAAGCUUCAUGAAUCAUGAUUGAAAAAGUUGAAAAUGACGUAUUUUACACCUCAUUUUACCACGGAGACUAAAUCAAUAUAAUGACAGGAAUUGUGUAAAGGGUGUUGAAAAUUAAUCUGCUCUGCUGUCAACGGCAUUAUAUCAUCACUCCACAAUAAGACAUGAAUUUGAAAAUUAUCUCACUAAACCAGCCAAUUUUCAAAACCUACAAUAUUGUUGACUCUGAGUGCUGAAAAAUAUCACCAGGUAUACUAGUGAGUAUGAAAACUUGAUUAUUGAUUUCAUCUUCAAAUAAAAUCCUAAAUCUAUUAAUUUUGUUUUACAGCCUGCAGCCUGUGAGCUAUCAAUGAAUAGAAGACAAAGACAGACUUUGAUGAUAAGAGUAUCAUCAUACAUGGGAAGAUGAUUUUUUUUUUUUUGAAUUAUUGCAAAAUACUUAGGUUUUAAAAUAAUGUCUGUGAUUUUUUUUUUAUUUAAGAGUUAUCUGUUGUUUUUGUAAAUGUUGGCCAAUCUGAGUUGCAAGCGUUUAAUUAAUUUUAUAUUUGUAGGAGGAAACAAUCCCGCAGCUGCCUGCAGCUUUUGAAAUUCCCGAUGAAUUAUUUGUAAUUGACAAACGAUGCUUGAAUAUUACCCCGAAGUUUUAGGUAAGAGCUUUGUAAUCAUAUUGUUUAGCGGAUUUAUUCUCAAGGUUUUCAUUUUGUAAGUUCAAAAUAGCAGACAGAUCAAUACAAAAUCUGUAGGCUACAGGCAAACAGACACUGUGCAGUGCGCAGAGUGCAUUAAUCUGAAAUGCAGAGAUUCUGUUUUCAACAAUUAUAUUCAUGGUUUUGAGAACUCUACUUUUGGUUCACAUCCACAUCGGGUUAUUUUUGACAUUUUUCAUAUUUGUUUGUAAAAAAUGUUAUAUCAGCAGUAAAUGUACCAAUGAUAAUGGACCACCUUUUUGUAUACCAUACAAAGCGUACUUAGGUGAAUUCAAUAUUUCUGAAAACAUCAAUAAGGCAUCCUGUAAAAAUACAAAGAGUUAUGCAACAUAUUUGAACAAUGAAACAUUUUUCUACUUGAAAAAGGAGAAGUACAUGUGAUAUAUAAGUUAUAGAUACAACCCACAAAUCACAAUCAAAUCCAUGUAAUAAAUUGAAAUGUUUGUUUUAGAAUCAUUUGAGUGGCACCAUAUCAACCACCCACAUGACAAUUUCUAGGAAGAUUGAAGAACUGCAUUCCUACUGCUACUGCCCAACUGAGUUUAAAUGUCUUAGCCAUUGUCUAGCAUUUCAAAAUGGAAGGCCACUGAAUUCAGACAUUUUUUGCUGUACUACAGAACAGAUGUAAUUAUACAUCUACUCCUUCCACUGCCACGCCCUCUACAUAGAAAUUGCAAAAGAGCCUCACAAAUGGUUAACCAGCAUAGAGCAUAUGUAACCUUUUGUAAUCACCAUUAAGUAAGUAAUCUUUUUCUUUAUUAUCUUGUAAUAUAUAUAAAAGUACCUAAUCAAAAUUAUAGUUCCAUAUUAACUAUGGUACUUCCUUGUUUUUGUAUAUAUUAUUAUUUUUCAAGUCUACUCUGAAAACAUCAUAUAAGAAGAACACCUUGCCACAAUAUUCAUGUCUCAAAGUAAAUAUUCUUUUUCUUUAUCAUCUUGCAAUAUGCAAUCAAAGUUAUAGCUUCACAUCUCUUCCUUGUUCUUACAUUAUUAGGUAUUUUUUUCAACGAUUUUUAUUUUUGAUUUGUCUACUUCAAUUGUAUUUGUAUUUGUUUGUCAAACUUUUAUAUUAAUUCUGUGUCCAUGAAAGCAAAAAUUCAAGCUUGUUUGAACAGUACAAAUAUAUUGAAAAUUUGUUUAAGCCCUAUAUGAAGGGCAUCAGAUAAUAAAUCUCUCGUCAUAAUAUUCUCCUCUCAAAGUAAGUAUGCUUUUUCUUUAUUAUCUCGCAAUAUGUAAUCUCAAAGUUAUAGUUUCAUAUUACCUCAUUGUUUCUGUAUUAUUAGGUACCUACCAACUAUAAAAUGAAUUAUUUUGAGAGAAUGAUAAUAUUCCCAUUCAGCUGGCAAAGGCAUUAAUACUCCAAAAGUAAUGAAUUUGCGGAUAAAACAUUUGUGAUAAUGUAGUCAAACACACAAUCUUUCUCAAUAUGGUCUAGAAGAGGAACAACCUAGCUAGGAGACAGUGAAGAUGAAGUUGCCUAUUUUUUUAAAAAUAAUGUAUAAGGGAUGAUUAAUAAGUAAGUUACACUCACACACCAUAUCUGCACAUUUGAACCUACAAACUCCAAUCUUGCUUCAAAUAAAACCUGUAGCAUCCCUUGUGGUGCAGUGAGUACAAUUUAUGCAAAGACCACCAUGACCGAAUCAGUGGUUCCUUUUCACACUAUGUUAUUAUUAUAAGUUUGUAGCAGAUGUUUCUAACAUCUUUAUGUAGAUGUAUAAUAAUUGCAUAUACUCUUAUAUCUGUAUUAAACUUUUUGAAAUUAUUA